rnacentral:tRNA from 1 species
GCAGGGAUAACAAAGUCUGGCCAAAUGUGCCAGGUUCAGGGCCUGGUCCCGUAGGGGUUCGUGAGUUCAAAUCUCACUCCCUGCA